GAUGAACGCUGGCGGCGUGCCUAAUACAUGCAAGUCGGCCGACAGACGAGGAAGCUGCUCCUCUUACGGUUGGCGCGGGCGGGUGGGGUAAACCUUGGAUACCUACCUAUUAAGACUGGGUUACUUCCGGAAAACCGGACUAAUACCGGAUUAUAAAUUUGAACGGAUGGUUUCAUAGUUAAAAAAGGGUUUUGUUGUACUUAUUAGAGGGAUCCCCGCCGCAUUAGCUAGUUGGUAGGGUAACGGCUUACCAAGGCAACGAUGCGUAGCCGACCUGAGAGGGUGAUCGGCCACACUGGAACUGAGACACGGUCCAGACUCCUACGGGAGGCAGCAGUAGGGAAUCUUCCGCAAUGGGCGAAAGCCUGACGGAGCAACGCCGCGUGAGUGAUGAAGGUCUUCGGAUCGUAAAACUCUGUUAUUAGGGAAGAACAAAUGUGUAAGUAACUAUGCACGUCUUGACGGUACCUAAUCAGAAAGCCACGGCUAACUACGUG
rnacentral:rRNA from 1 species